GGCCUCGUAGCUCAGCUGGUAGUGCAUGGGCGGCGAUCAUGCGUGGGUUCGAAUCCCACCGAGGCUA
rnacentral:tRNA from 1 species